rnacentral:rRNA from 1 species
CGUCUAUAUACGUAUAGCAUAUCAAUAAGCGGAGGAAAAGAAACUAACAAGGAUUCCCCUAGUAACGGCGAGUGAAGCGGGAAGAGCUCAAAUUUGAAAUCUUCAAGGUUUUACCUUGACGAAUUGUAGUUUAAAGAAGUGUUUUCUGUUGAGAGUAUUAGUAAAAGUUCUUUGGAAUAGGACAUCAUAGAGGGUGAGAAUCCCGUAUUUGACUAUUCUUUCUAGCUUUGUGAUACACUUUCAAAGAGUCGGAUUGUUUGGGAAUGCAGUCCAAAAUGGGUGGUAAAUUUCAUCUAAAGCUAAAUAUUGGCGAGAGACCGAUAGCGAACAAGUACCGUGAGGGAAAGAUGAAAAGAACUUUGAAAAGAGAGUUAAACAGUACGUGAAAUUGUCAAAAGGGAAGCGUUUGACACCAGUGUUGUUUUCUCGAAAAUCAAUUAAAAAUGGUGGGAUUUUGUGUUGUAUUGACUUUAUCAGCUUUCUGCACUUUUUUCCUAUCUUUCUUAAUGCACUUUUCGGUUAACAAGUCAACAUCAAUUUCUUUUGUUGUAAAAGGGUAUGAGGAAGGUGGCUUUCUUUUCGGAGAAAGUGUUUAUAGCCUUGUACCUCUGCAAUCGGAGAGAUUGAGGUCUGCAGCGUAGAUCCUUCGGGGUUAGAUACAUUUGUGCUAAGCUAUAGCCUUUCAUAGACAACUUGUUGACUAUGAUCAGUCAUGUAGCUUACUCGCUUAUGCUAUUUUACCUACGCUUAGGAUGUUGACGCGCGUGUGUGCGUG